CUCUUGAUCUCCUGUCCCUAAGACCACGGGGAACAGAACAGAAACAUGGGCACAGGCAGGACCACUGAACCGCUACAUCACAGUUGACACCAAGGGCUCAGGACACCCACCUGCUGAGGAGCCUCAGAGGAGGAAGCACCCCCUUCCCCCACCCCAGCCUCCUGUGGGACUCAGGAGGCGCUAUUGGGGGUUGGUGGUUAGGGGUCGCUGGGUCAGCCCGGCUGAUUGUGAUUAUCCUGUGUGGACUGGGUAGCAAGAACUAACUGUGCCUCCCUUCACGGACCCUCCACCCGACACACAGACAUCCCAGCGGAGAAAGGGAGGCCGUCGCCUCUGGGACAAAGAGCCAUAGAAACAGCACCAGGCUCACAUCAUUCCAAUGGUUUGAAAAGUCACCUCGGGGCCCGGGAGACACCCCCAGAUGUGUCUCCUGUGAGACUCCAAACUCAGCCAAGAGGACAGUGAAGACUGUCCCUCCUGGGUCCCAGCGAAAGGAAGGUGGCAGCUACGGGAAGCGAAAGGAAGCAGGAGAGAGCUUCCAGGGCUGUGCACCAACUCACCAAGGACUUGGCCAGGCUGUACCAGUGGAGCUUUGAGGCAACCCUGACUUGAGACCCAGGGAGGUCCCUGGUGAAGUUACCUUCAUCAUGAAAGGAUUUUCAGGAGGGUCCCAAACUUACACAGACCAUCAACCCCCCCCCUCCAAGCUGGGGUUCUUUUAAAUCCUUCAUGAUCCUAUGUAUUCGGCCGGAUCAUUCAGCUCUGAGAGAGUUCCCUGUCCCCAGGUGACAGCCUGUAACAUUCAUGGGCUCUGCACCCACAUCUCUCCCCACCCUUGGGUCCCAGAGGGCCUUAUUCUAAAUGCCAGUCUCUGCCCAUCCUGCAGACGUUUCUCAAGUCUACGCCCCUUUUCUAAAGCUUUGCUCUCCCGACUCCUGAAAUGGCAGGUCCCUGCUAAUCCAUCGCCAGCUCGCUGGUUUUGACAGUGUACUCGAGGGGCAGAGAUCGAGCAUGUUUCCUUCCUAGAUGCCACCCAGAAGCACCAUGAUGCUCUCUGCCUGUGCCUUACAAGGCACAGGGCUUCCCUGAUGAGGCGAGGGGAUGCCUAGUUCGUUGACUGGCAGCUGAGACCUGCUCCACACAGCUAGGGAAAAUAUCCAGGACAGAGACAAGCUCAGGUCGUGUAGCCAAGUGGAGAGGUUCUCUGGGCCUGCCUUCCACACAGCCACAGGAGGCAGACCGCAUGCCUGAGUGAUCUACUUACAACACACGAUCUGAAUCUCUGAGUCCCAAAUCCCAACUAUUGAAAUCCUGGAAACUGCAAUUCAUAUUUUACAAGAGGACUCCACAGGGGUAGGAGCCUUUCGUGAAGAGAUGAGUACAUGUUCGGAUGCAUCAGAACAGCUACUUGCUGUGAGGUCUGAAGCUGAGAGUCUGGAGAGAGAACAAAUCAGCCCUCACGGGGCUUGUCUUCUUCAAACCAUUCGGUUCUCAGACCUGGGAGCGGCUCCUGGCUAAGCACAGGUGCUGAGGCUAAAACUGAACACAGGUGUGAUGGUGCCAGGCUCUGAAGACAGCAGGCGGCGUGUGGGCCCGAUCUGCCCACUGCAGAGAGAGCAGCUGCCCCGGACCCCGCUGACGAGGGCAGUUCCGCGGCGAGGCAAGGGAGACCAGGCCAAAGGCCGCAGGGCAGAACUCUGCUCACAGAUUUGCACCCAUCCUGCCUUAUGUCUGCUCCCUUUAACACCUGCCCCCAGGAAUUCGUGUGUGUGGUGUGUGUGUGUGUGUGUGUGUGUCUCAUUUACAGGGCUAGAGGCUGACUGGCCAGCUGGCUUCAAAAUGAAUUCCCCAAGAAGACAACCACCAGUGCAAAUGUCGGGCUCCACCCAGGAAAAUCACCCACACAUUGUCAGUAACUUUAAAUUCUCCCUUUCCAGAGACCGAUUCCUGCCAUAGGAUGAUGAUGAUGAUGAUGAUGAUGAUUCUUCCUUCUUCCUCCUCCUCUUCCUCCUCCUCUUCCUCCUCCUCAUCCUCUUUUUCUUCUUCUUCUUCUUCUUUCCCAAGCAAAUCAUCAUUAAUUGCCAGAAACAUUAAAAAAUGCUAAAAAAUGGAAUGUUCUGUCCACAUUUUGAUUCUUUCUUUAGAUGAAUGACACCACAUGUGAAUGCCCAACAGUCUAAAAUGCAAGCUGAAUAGUGUGAAAGGCCCCAAAGUAGCUUGACCACACAGUAGCCAUGACAGGCUCGGGGCCUAACACAGCUUCUGUGACAGGCUUACUGGCAGGCAACACCCAGAUCCAGGAAAAAUCUUAAGCUGAUACCACCCAGGGAUCCACCCAGGGGUGAGGAAGUACCUGAC